rnacentral:rRNA from 1 species
GACGAACGCUGGCGGCGUGCUUAACACAUGCAAGUCGAACGGAGAUUAUUAAUGAAGCUUGCGAUUUAAUAAUCUUAGUGGCGGACGGGUGAGUAACGCGUGGGCAACCUACCCAUAAGCGGGGGAUAACAGUUGGAAACGACUGCUAAUACCGCAUAAGCUAUUGAGGUCGCAUGACCUUAAUAGUAAAGGUGGCAUUUUAAAGAUGCUAUCACUUAUGGAUGGGCCCGCGUCUGAUUAGCUAGUUGGUGGGGUAGCGGCCUACCAAGGCAACGAUCAGUAGCCGGCCUGAGAGGGUGGACGGCCACACUGGGACUGAGACACGGCCCAGACUCCUACGGGAGGCAGCAGUGGGGAAUAUUGCGCAAUGGGGGAAACCCUGACGCAGCGACGCCGCGUGAGCGAAGAAGGCCUUAGGGUCGUAAAGCUCUGUUGUAAGGGACGAAUGUUUAUCUGACGAAUAGUCAGAUAAAGUGACGGUACCUUACCAGCAAGCCCCGGCUAACUACGUG